rnacentral:rRNA from 1 species
GACGAACGCUGGCGGCGUGCCUAAUACAUGCAAGUAGAACGCUGAAGGAGGAGCUUGCUUCUCUGGAUGAGUUGCGAACGGGUGAGUAACGCGUAGGUAACCUGCCUGGUAGCGGGGGAUAACUAUUGGAAACGAUAGCUAAUACCGCAUAAUAGCAGUUGUUGCAUGAUAACUGUUUGAAAGGUGCAAUUGCACCACUACCAGAUGGACCUGCGUUGUAUUAGCUAGUUGGUGGGGUAACGGCUCACCAAGGCGACGAUACAUAGCCGACCUGAGAGGGUGAUCGGCCACACUGGGACUGAGACACGGCCCAGACUCCUACGGGAGGCAGCAGUAGGGAAUCUUCGGCAAUGGACGGAAGGCUGACCGAGCAACGCCGCGUGAGUGAAGAAGGUUGUCGGAUCGUAAAGCUCGGUUGUAAGAGAAGAACGAGUGUGAGAGUGGAAAGUUCACACUGUGACGGUAUCUUACCAGAAAGGGACGGCUAACUACGUG